CAUAGUCUUAGUCUAUCUGAAAUAUUUUAAAUUCAACUAGAUCUAUGAAAGUGAACAUGAUGAUGAUCGGACUCUAGAUAGAUCUAGAUCUAUCAACUUUGACCUUUCAACUCUUUAACAACCAAUGAUAAUUAGUAAACAUCAAAACAACUGUCUACGUUGCAGACUAAACCCCCAUGUUCGUUAGACAUUUCUCUAUUUCUAGUAACGUUAUAUUUAGAUCUAGUUCUAAACGUUUGUGAAAAAAAAUAAAAUUGAUUACUUUCAAAUAACCACAAAAAAUGUCUGGAGCAGAUGAGAAAUACCUUGACGAAUUAGAUAAAUACAACAUUGAACAGGACAAAUACGAGAACCAUGGUCAUAGUGGAAAAGGACGGAGCAAGAAAGAGGCUGAACAGCAUCACUACGAAGAUCCUAGUGGCCACACAAGAAAGAAUGUCCAGAAACUUAUCAACAAUGCACACAAACAUACAGAAAAUAAGGCCGAAAAGAAUAAAAAAUGAUUGGAACUGUUCUUUCAUUGAUCACACAGUGGACCAAGACUUAACUGGACUAUGGCUGUGGUCUAAGAAUACACCUCAAAUUGCUUUGUGUAGACAGCUUGUUACAAGAGUUGUCAACACAAAAUGUUCUAGUCUUGAUGACAGCUAUUGAGAACUUUUCUUCAUUAUUGAUUUUGACUUUACCCAAAUAUAUAUAGAACUACUUAAAUUUUAUACUUUUAACUUUCUUUUUGCUAUUAAAUGAAUAAUUUUCUUUGGCUGUUAAAUUUAAUUACUGUUUUUUCCAUUUAGUAAUAUUAUUCUGUUGGAGUGGGUUUUUUUCCUCUGUUUAGGUAUGGUAAUUGGUUGCAUACCAUAUCAUUAGUGUGUUUUGGUUAUUUGUUAA
rnacentral:sRNA from 1 species